CUCCAGUGAGGCGGCGCGGGCCGCUGCAGUCCCGGCUCCCUCGGCCGAGGAGCGGGCGGCGCUGGCCGGAGUGCCGGAGAGGCGCCGCAGCCCGGUUUCGGCGGCAGCCGGGGACGCGCCGCUGGCACAGCUGGUGGCCGUCAGCCACCUGGCCGCCGCUUCCCCAGCCCGGGCAAGAGCGCACCGUCUCCCCCGAGCGCGUCCGCCGCGGAGGAGGCUGCUCCGCGAGGAAGUGUCAAUUUUGUUUGGAGUUGGGUGCUAAGAUGUAAACUGACUGGACCCAGCAGCAAAAAAGGAGACCCACCCAGCCUCUCCAGUCCAGAUAUGCCCUUGCUCCCCCUUCUAAUUACCUACUGAGAGGGAGGUGGAC